GGCAGUGUGGCCGAGUGGUUAAGGCGACUGACUCGAAUCUUUUGAGUUAUCAGUUGGGAUUCUCCCGCGCAGGUUCAAAUCCUGCUGCUGUCG